rnacentral:rRNA from 1 species
GGCACAGGAAAGGACAGACAGAACACGAGCAGAGACCCCACCAAAAACAACAAAAAAAAAACAAAAAAAAGAACAACAACACAAAAAAAAAACCACGAAAACAAACAAAAGAAACAAAAAAAAACAACCACCCCCGAACGCCCCUUUCCUGGAGGAAAGGGGGGAAGACGUCAAAUCAUCAAGCCCCUUUAUGGGCCUGGGCUUCACACGUCAUACAAUGGUCGGGACAGAGGGUCGCACAGACCCGCGAGGUGGGAGCUCAAUCUCCAUAAAACACCGUUUCUCUAGUUCCGGGUUGCAGGUUUCCAAACUUCGCCUUGCCGGAAAGCUGGGAAUCGUUAGUUAUUGGGGGUUAACCAUGCCCCGGGGAAAGGUUUCCCGGCUUUUGUCCCCCCCCCCGGCCCCCCCCGAGAGUUUGUUUCACCCGAAAUAGGUUGGGGUACCUUAAGGGGCCCGCUUCCCAAGGUAGGACUGAUGAUGCGGUAACUSSNCUGU